GUAAUGUGAAUUGCAGAAUUCAGUGAAUCAUCGAAUCUUUGAACGCACAUUGCGCCCUCUGGUAUUCCGGGGGGCAUGCCUGUCCGAGCGUCAUUA
rnacentral:rRNA from 1 species